CUCCCUCCCUCCUUGAGCGUCUGUUUAUCUUCCCUUCAAUUCAUGAUUGUUCUUUCCUUAGUGUAUUCUUUGGUGCUUUGUGUAGUACAAGGAGGCUCCUGCCAUUUCCUUUGGGAACACAAUCAGUACCCCAAUACUCAAUGUUAUAAACUACUAUGCUAUUAGGAAGGGUAACUUCAAUACUUAAAGGGUUCUUAUAAAAAGGAUGGAAGAGGACUCUUUACUCAGCCUGAAGGAUCCCAGUGCACUUAUGAAUACUUUAAUUCAUUACUGGAAUGAAUUCUCUUCCCAGUAAAUCAGGAGGAGGUCUCAUUCUGCAAGAGGAAGAAGACUAGGAUACUUCUUAAAUUAUACCAACCCAGGAGAGGAGAGGGGAGGGGAAGAGAGCCUUCCUGCUGCAGGAAGGAAGAAGGUUAAAGAAGCAAAAGGAGCACACUGAAACAAAUCUUGAUGUCUCAAGUACAGAGUUUCAUACAUGCUGUGUGUCUUAAUCAGACUGUGCCAGGAACAUAUUGCCUUAUAGAAUAUCAUAGUUUCUGUGACAUGUAGGUUCAGUAUUCUAAGACUGUAGAAUUUCUGAGAAUUAAGUCAAUAACACUCUUGGGUGAGAUGAACUUGUGUUACCUUGGUUAUCACAAAAAGAGUGUUCUGUCCUUCUGUCCGUUCAUAUAGAAAAUAUUUGAGUCUUGUAGAAUUUCCAAGGAUGAAAUACAGAUCAUUCCAGAAUGAGCAGAAACUGCUGAAAACAUCAGUUUGGAAAACAUUGUUCUACUUCUAAAACACUUAGAAACAAUUUAAAUGAUUAAUAGGUUUUAAAAAUAAAUUUCCUAUGGCUUUCAGAUAUUCCUUCUCCUUUGGCCCAUGUUAUAAAUUACUGUUGUUGUAUGAACACAAUCUUUAUUCCUUUGAAUGAAUAUAUAGAACUUUGUUCUACUCACAGCCUUUAGUAUUUUACAGAUAUUGUUAUGGAAAUGGCUUAUCAUUUUUCAAAAAUAAAAUUCUGCCUCCAGGGUGUUUAGUAUAACCUUUUUAAUCAUUAAAGUUGUAAAAUGUUUUAUUGAAAUAUUGGUGCUGCUUGAAACAGCAUAAGCUCCUAUUAGAAUAUCUAACUGGUUUGAGGCAA